rnacentral:rRNA from 1 species
GAUGAACGCUAGCGGCAGGCCUAACACAUGCAAGUCGAGGGGUAUGGCAGCAAUGCCAGAGACCGGCGCACGGGUGCGUAACGCGUAUGCAAUCUACCUUUUACAGAGGGAUAGCCCAGAGAAAGUUGGAUUAAUACCUCAUAGUAUAUUUUAGUGGCAUCAAUAGAUUAUUAAAGUUCCAAAGGUACAAGAUGAGCAUGCGUCCUAUUAGCGAGUUGGUGUGGUAACGGCAUGCCAAGGAUACGAUAGGUAGGGGUUCUGAGAGGGAGAUCCCCCACACUGGUACUGAGACACGGAACAGACUCCUACGGGAGGAAGCAGUGAGGAAUAUUGGUCAAUGGGCGCAAGCCUGAACCAGCCAUGCCGCGUGCAGGAGGAAGCAUCUAUGGUGUGUAGACUGCUUUUAUACGGGAAGAAACACUCCUACGUGUAGGAACUUGACGGUACCGUAAGAAUAAGGAUCGGCUAACUCCGUGCCAGCCGCCGCCGUAACAC